ensembl:lncRNA
UUUUUUUUUUUUUUUUUUUUUUUUUUUGUAGAAGCAGGGUCUCGCUGUUUUCCAGGUUGAUCUCAAACUCCUGGGCUCAAGCAAUCCUCCCGCCUUGGCCUCCCAACGUGCUGGGAGUAAAGGCAUGAACCACUGCACCCAGCCUGAAUUUUCAAUUUUGAUCUUUUUCUUGGCUAGUAAUAGGCAGUGUAAUACUUUUUCAUGAUGCUGGCAGCAGCAGCCAAGUUACAGCUCCCAAUCAGCCACCCAGUCACAAGGUGAACAACAGAUACAGUGUAUUGUAUUCAACAAAUCACAUGAGAUGUUUACCACUUUAUUACAAAAUAGGCUUUGUGUUAUUUUUGCCCAAUUGUAGGCUAAUAAUAUAAGCGUUCUGAGCAUGUUUAAGGUAGGCUAGGUUAUGCUAUGGUGUAGGUUAGGUGUAUUCAACGCAUUUUUAACAUACAAUAUUUUCCACUUACGAUGGAUUUAUCUGGAUGUAACUGCACCUCAAGUCAAGGAGCAUCUAUACUAGAGCAAACUUCACCAAGCAAUAGACUCACCCGGGGUGCUGGUGAAGACAGGUGCUUGGUUAAGCUUCAUCCUCAAAGCUCUUGAUUCAGUUAAGUCUGGGUUGAGGCCUGAAAAUUUGCAUUUCUAACAAGUUUGCAGAUGAUGCUUACCCAGGGACUAUACUUUGGGAACCACUGCGCUUAGUUAAGUCCCAUGUGGGCCAGGACUGACUGUCUUUUCACCCUGUGUUGAGCAGUGUUUGGCACAUUUGUUUGUUGAAUGAACACCAAAAGGUGCUCUAACACUACAGAAGAAGAACCACCACCACGAUCACCAUUCUGAAAGUGUAAGUUUGCAAUUCUACUUUCCCCUACAGUGUGCUCCAUUUGCAAAGCUAAAACCCACUCAUCAAAUCAGAGAUAGAGAUUCAGAAGGGCUGAACUGCCAAAGUAAGCAACACAUACUUCUUUAGAUGGAAAAGUGCCACUUCUGUUGGUUGACCGGCUAGUCUUUUUUUCCUAGAGGCAAUGAAACUCAAGCAUCCAGUACGUAAGAGCAUCAGCAGAAGAUAAUCUUUUUGUCCAAGUGUGCUUUAAAUCAGGAGCAAUGAUUUACUGCUAACACCAAAUAUAUUUGGAAUUCACAGAGGCUUUGCAUUGCCAGCCUCUAAUCACUUCUCAGCAGAGUACCCCAAAAUUGCUACAGUCCGUCAAUACAAAAUGGGAGAUUGUCAUCUGAGAUUUGCCACAUCAGGGAUUCAUCAAAAUGCAAAAUCAACACCUUCCCUUUCUCUCUCUCCUACUCCAGAUGAUUUCUGAAUUUCUGUACAUUUGUUAAUUCACAGAAGCAUGAACAGAAUGACACGAACAUUACAAAUGCAAAUGUCUUUGUUCCUAACAAAUUACUCCAGUUUUCCCUUCUUCCGUAAGUCUGGGAGUGGGAGGGAAGGGACUUCACAUUACCAUUGCAAAAUCACCGUACGUUUAGAAGCCAGAGGCAAAGGUAAGAUAUAGUUUUCCAAAGUUUUUUUUUCUUUUUGGUCAGGGAUAGCUUUUAAAGACACACAACCUCAAAUAUUAUUUUUCCAGUGCUGAUUUGUACUCUAAUAAACUGACAUCUGCAUCUCUAAAGAAAUACUUCACUGUCAAAAGAAUCUAGCUAUUUUGUUUGCUUGAAAUGUUUUCAUCUCAGACCAAAUUUAGAAUACCCACCACCUGUUUAUACCAAUCUCCAGCAAAGCGGCAAAAGCUCACCUCUUCGAUUCACUUCCCAGCUGGAACAGUCAAGGUGAUGGGAGUUGUGAGAUGUUUUAAAUUAGCCUCCAACUCCUUGUUCAUUUCUGAGACAAUGUGCUACCCUUGAGCUCCAAAUGCUACACACUUCAACUCCAGAGUACAUCAGGGAUCAUCUUUGCAAACAGAAACCCUCAGUCAUAUAAGGGACAACAUUCUGCAGGAAAUGUUGAGGCACAGAACAGUACAAAAGAAUGGUGAAUAGGCUAUUUUGGAAACAAUACUUAAAGCUCUUGGUACCUCCUUCCACAUCUGUGAAUGGGGGCAUUAGUGGUCACAGAGAGAUAGGGCUAGGUCCUCUCUUGCUCUAAAGUUCUGUUAAAAUAUUUGCAAAAUACAAUAGCUUUUAUUCUCCAAUUCCCACUUAAGGCUGCACCUUCCAAAAUCUUUUGAGGCCUAAUAGCAAAUAAGCCUUGGCAUUUACAUGAGUUGGGUUAGGUUUUCUUUUUUUGUCUUUUUUUUUUUAGGUUGAAAGCAACAGAAACCAAUUCCUACAUGCUGAAGAAAAAAAAAAGGCAGUGUUAUUAAGAAGACUCAAAUGUUUUCAUGAGGUUCAAAGGCAAGAUUCUAAACAGGCCUCAGAAAGAUACUGGAAACAGAAAACGCCAGUGUUAGGAACCCAGGCAACAUUCUUUUAUUCUUGCUCCAGCUGAUUCUUCCCCUGUGCUCUGC